GACAGAGGUCCCGAGCGUUAGGCGGAAUCACUGGGCUUAAAGCGUGUGUAGGCGGAGUGCUAAGUACCUUGUGAAAUCCCACGGCUCAACCGUGGAACUGCUUGGUAUACUGGUUCUCUUGAGCCACCUAGGGGCAACCGGAACAAACGGUGGAGCGGUGAAAUGCGUAGAUAUCGUUUGGAACGCCAAUGGUGAAAACAACUUGCUGGGGGUGUGCUGACGCUGAGACACGAAAGCCAGGGGAGCAAACGGG
rnacentral:rRNA from 1 species